GUAGGAUGAUCCUUCAGAUGACGAGUCUGAAAGUGCUAGGGCGAGGUUUCCUCGUCUUAGCCAACUUUGACGACAUCUUUUUAUAUAUACCAUUCAUGCAAAACUGAUA
rnacentral:snoRNA from 1 species